UACGAAGGGGGCUAGCGUUGUUCGGAAUCACUGGGCGUAAAGCGCACGUAGGCGGAUUUGUAAGUCAGGGGUGAAAUCCCGGGGCUCAACCUCGGAACUGCCUUUGAUACUGCGAGUCUUGAGUCCGAUAGAGGUGGGUGGAAUUCCUAGUGUAGAGGUGAAAUUCGUAGAUAUUAGGAAGAACACCAGUGGCGAAGGCGGCCCACUGGAUCGGUACUGACGCUGAGGUGCGAAAGCGUGGGGAGCAAACAGG
rnacentral:rRNA from 1 species